AUUCGUUUAUGUUUUAGCUUUUAUUUUCGGAACUUUAUUAACUACAAACUUGGCUAUUCAAACGGACUCUGAUUGAUUGCAAUAACGACAUACUCAGCCUGGGAUUUACUGUUUUUGUGUGGCUCGGCCAAGGCUCGGCUGGUGGUUCUAUGGUGUUAGAAAAUGAGCAACUUAAUUAUACACAACAAUGGGCAGCACCUCGAUCGGUUACUGCAAAUGACUACAUCUGUGGGGCUUGUCACUCAUUAUUGCAAAGAGAUACCACACCUACUUCACAAGACUCUCCAGAUAUGCCAACCGGUGCCCCGGUAGGUCACCAACAAGUUUGUGUUGGAUGUGGUUGUUCAUUAUUGCGAACUUGAAGUCAUUGUUUGGAUACAGAGAAUAAUCAAGAUAUAUUAAACAUUGUUCGAAAUUGGAUUCAACCCAGAGAGAUUCGUCCUUCAGAUCUUCUUUGCCAUAGAUACUAUCAGAGAGCACGAAUUACUACAGUUGGUGCUUAUUUAAUGAAGCUGAGGACCGGUGAUUCAGAUGACAGAAUAGCUACAUUACUUGGCAUUUCAAGGAGUACUCUUACAAAAUAUGUAAUGAAAGCACGCAGUAUGAUGGAGGAACAUUUCGUACCAGCACAUUUAGGGUUACAACAUAUUAGUAGAGAGGAAGUAGCCCAAAGAAACCUUUAUGUUCCAGUCUCUUUUCGGGAAGCCAGGAAACGAUUUACCACAAAGAAAGGCUAUUGUCAUCAUGGAUGGUACAUACAUACAUUUAUGUGCAAAAAAGUAGCAAUUAUGCAUACCAAAAAAAAAACUUAUUCCCUAUACAAAUAUCGGAAUCUCGUUAAACCAUUUAUGGUACUUUGUUGUGAUGGCGACAUCAUUGAUGUAUUGGGCCCAUAUUUAAUAGAAAAUGUAGAACAUGACCAUUAA